AUGCUCGCUUUGGCAGCACGUAUCCUAAAAUUGAAACGAUGCAGAGAAGAUUAGCAUGGCCCCUGUGCAAGGACGACACGCAAACACACACACAUGACGACUUC
rnacentral:snRNA from 1 species